GCGGAGCCCGGUCUGCUCGGAACUCCACUCUGCGGGAGCGGAGGCCGGCGCCAGCCCGGGAAGCCGCGCAGGGGGCGGGAGGCCGAGCGCGAGGCCCUUGGCGCCGGGCCUCCGCGUCCAGGCCGGGCAGCUUACGAUUCUUCAUCAACUCGUAAAAUGAGAUCGCCGCGGAGCUCGAGCCUAUUUGGCUUCUCCGGAGACUAGCAAGACCCUCUGAAAGACACCGCGUCCCCAGGGAUAAUCCCCCGUGUCCGGCAAAGCUGCCCCGCUCGAGCGCGAACCCUGGGACCCAGCGCGGGAGGCAGACCAGCAGCUGGCCGCUGGGCUGUGAACGCCAGGACCGAGCGGAAGCUUCCCGCCCGGCCGCGAUCGGUGCCGCGGCUCUCAGGGAAGUGGCUACGCGCGGCCCUCGGGAAAGCAGGCAUCCAUGCUGAUGUUCACAAGGCACACAGCAUUUCAGCUGAAG
rnacentral:lncRNA from 1 species